AUUUAAAAUUCUCAAAAUGCGACUAUAUACUUAUAUCGACGCAAAAAAUAUUGCAUCCGUUUGACAGAUGUAAGAGUAAGAGAGAGAGAUAGCAAAAGAAAUGUAUUGUCGUAUUUUGAGCAUUUCGAACUAAAUCCACAAUAUU